CAAGUCGAGGGGCAUCACGAGGUAGCAAUACUUUGGUGGCGACCGGCGCACGGGUGCGUAACGCGUAUGUAACCUACCUAUAACAGGGGCAUAACACUGAGAAAUUGGUACUAAUACCCCAUAACAUCAGGACCGGCAUCGGUUCUGGUUGAAAACUCCGGUGGUUAGAGAUGGGCAUGCGUUGUAUUAGCUAGUUGGUGGGGUAACGGCUCACCAAGGCGACGAUACAUAGGGGGACUGAGAGGUUAACCCCCACACUGGUACUGAGACACGGACCAGACUCC
rnacentral:rRNA from 1 species